UACGUAGGGUGCAAGCGUUGUCCGGAAUUAUUGGGCGUAAAGAGCUCGUAGGCGGUUUGUCGCGUCGGCUGUGAAAGCCCGGAGCUCAACUCCGGGUCUGCAGUCGAUACGGGCAGACUUGAGUGUUGCAGGGGAGACUGGAAUUCCUGGUGUAGCGGUGAAAUGCGCAGAUAUCAGGAGGAACACCAAUGGCGAAGGCAGAUCUCUGGGCCGUAACUGACGCUGAGGAGCGAAAGCAUGGGGAGCGAACAGG
rnacentral:rRNA from 1 species